CCUACGGGUGGCUGCAGUGGGGAAUAUUGGACAAUGGGGGCAACCCUGAUCCAGCCAUGCCGCGUGUGUGAAGAAGGCCCUCGGGUUGUAAAGCACUUUCAGUGAGGAAGAACGCCUGGUGGUUAAUACCCAUCAGGAAAGACAUCACUCACAGAAGAAGCACCGGCUAACUCCGUGCCAGCAGCCGCGGUAAUACGGAGGGUGCGAGCGUUAAUCGGAAUUACUGGGCGUAAAGCGCGCGUAGGUGGCUUGAUAAGCCGGUUGUGAAAGCCCCGGGCUCAACCUGGGAACGGCAUCCGGAACUGUCAAGCUAGAGUGCAGAAGAGGAAGGUAGAAUUCCCGGUGUAGCGGUGAAAUGCGUAGAGAUCGGGAGGAAUACCAGUGGCGAAGGCGGCCUUCUGGACUGACACUGACACUGAGGUGCGAAAGCGUGGGUAGCAAACAGGAUUAGAUACCCUGGUAGUC
rnacentral:rRNA from 1 species